rnacentral:rRNA from 1 species
AGAGUUUGAUCCUGGCUCAGGACGAACGCUGGCGGCGUGCCUAAUACAUGCAAGUAGAACGCUGAAGAGAGGAGCUUGCUCUUCUUGGAUGAGUUGCGAACGGGUGAGUAACGCGUAGGUAACCUGCCUUGUAGCGGGGGAUAACUAUUGGAAACGAUAGCUAAUACCGCAUAACAAUGGAUGACACAUGUCAUUUAUUUGAAAGGGGCAAUUGCUCCACUACAAGAUGGACCUGCGUUGUAUUAGCUAGUAGGUGAGGUAAUGGCUCACCUAGGCGACGAUACAUAGCCGACCUGAGAGGGUGAUCGGCCACACUGGGACUGAGACACGGCCCAGACUCCUACGGGAGGCAGCAGUAGGGAAUCUUCGGCAAUGGGGGCAACCCUGACCGAGCAACGCCGCGUGAGUGAAGAAGGUUUUCGGAUCGUAAAGCUCUGUUGUAAGUCAAGAACGGGUGUGAGAGUGGAAAGUUCACACUGUGACGGUAGCUUACCAGAAAGGGACGGCUAACUACGUGCCAGCAGCCGCGGUAAUACGUAGGUCCCGAGCGUUGUCCGGAUUUAUUGGGCGUAAAGCGAGCGCAGGCGGUUUGAUAAGUCUGAAGUUAAAGGCUGUGGCUCAACCAUAGUUCGCUUUGGAAACUGUCAAACUUGAGUGCAGAAGGGGAGAGUGGAAUUCCAUGUGUAGCGGUGAAAUGCGUAGAUAUAUGGAGGAACACCGGUGGCGAAAGCGGCUCUCUGGCUUGUAACUGACGCUGAGGCUCGAAAGCGUGGGGAGCAAACAGGAUUAGAUACCCUGGUAGUCCACGCCGUAAACGAUGAGUGCUAGGUGUUAGACCCUUUCCGGGGUUUAGUGCCGCAGCUAACGCAUUAAGCACUCCGCCUGGGGAGUACGACCGCAAGGUUGAAACUCAA